UGGGGAAUAUUGCACAAUGGGCGAAAGCCUGAUGCAGCGACGCCGCGUGAGGGAUGACGGCCUUCGGGUUGUAAACCUCUUUCAGCAGGGAAGAAGCGAAAGUGACGGUACCUGCAGAAGAAGCGCCGGCUAACUACGUGCCAGCAGCCGCGGUAAUACGUAGGGCGCAAGCGUUGUCCGGAAUUAUUGGGCGUAAAGAGCUCGUAGGCGGUUAGUCGCGUCUGCUGUGAAAACUCGAGGCUCAACCUCGGGCUUGCAGUGGGUACGGGCUGACUAGAGUGCGGUAGGGGUGACUGGAAUUCCUGGUGUAGCGGUGGAAUGCGCAGAUAUCAGGAGGAACACCGAUGGCGAAGGCAGGUCACUGGGCCGCAACUGACGCUGAGGAGCGAAAGCAUGGGGAGCGAACAGGAUUAGAUAGCCCUGGUAGUCCAUGCCGUAAACGUUGGGCACUAGGUGUGGGUCCAUUCCACGGAUUCCGUGCCGCAGCAAAGCGCAUUAAGUGCCCCGCCUGGGGAGUACGGCCGCAAGGCUAAAACUUAAAUGAAUUGACGGGGUCAUAGCUGUUUCCU
rnacentral:rRNA from 1 species